AGUGAACGCUGGCGGUAGGCCUAACACAUGCAAGUCGAACGGCAGCACAGUAAGAGCUUGCUCUUACGGGUGGCGAGUGGCGGACGGGUGAGGAAUACAUCGGAAUCUACUUUUUCGUGGGGGAUAACGUAGGGAAACUUACGCUAAUACCGCAUACGACCUACGGGUGAAAGCAGGGGAUCUUCGGACCUUGCGCGAUUGAAUGAGCCGAUGUCGGAUUAGCUAGUUGGCGGGGUAAAGGCCCACCAAGGCGACGAUCCGUAGCUGGUCUGAGAGGAUGAUCAGCCACACUGGAACUGAGACACGGUCCAGACUACUACGGGAGGCAGCAGUGGGGAAUAUUGGACAAUGGGCGCAAGCCUGAUCCAGCCAUACCGCGUGGGUGAAGAAGGCCUUCGGGUUGUAAAGCCCUUUUGUUGGGAAAGAAAAACAGCAGGUUAAUACCCCGCUGUUCUGACGGUACCCAAAGAAUAAGCACCGGCUAACUUCGUG
rnacentral:rRNA from 1 species